rnacentral:rRNA from 1 species
UUGCUCGAGUGGCGAACGGGUGAGUAACACGUGAGUAACCUGCCCUUGACUUUGGGAUAACUUCAGGAAACUGGGGCUAAUACCGGAUAGGAGCUCCUGCUGCAUGGUGGGGGUUGGAAAGUUUCGGCGGUUGGGGAUGGACUCGCGGCUUAUCAGCUUGUUGGUGGGGUAGUGGCUUACCAAGGCUUUGACGGGUAGCCGGCCUGAGAGGGUGACCGGCCACAUUGGGACUGAUAUACGGCCCAG